rnacentral:lncRNA from 1 species
CACAAAUAAGUUAUCAAUCAAGUAGAUGAACGAAUUGAAUCCGCAACUUAUGAAAUAACAAUUGAAUGUAAUCAAAUCAUAUUGCAAGCAUGUACAUGGUUUCGAAUCACCCCCCAACUAAGGGGGUUUAGUUCUUCAUUCUUGCAAUACAAAGAUACAUAAAAUUAGACAUUAAAAUCAAAGGAAAGAAAACACCUAAAA